CUCUUGGUUUAUGUCAUUAUAGGAUAGCUUCGUUAUUAAAAAUGCUGUGGACUUAGAGAAUAAGAUUACCAUCACAGCCUAAGAUACGUAAGACAGAUCCCAGAGAGAGAAGCUGGUUAGAUCUUCAAGUCCGUGAAUGACACCAGAUCGUGUCAUUGGAUACUCCAGAAAAUGAAUAUGUCUUGAAGUGGAUGGAGUGUGUGAUUAAAUCCCUGAGUAGCACACACAGAGAGGAAGGACCACAUGAAUGCAAUAAGGAGAAGAUGGCCAUCCACAAGCGAGAGAGAGAGGUUCAGAAAAAAUAAACCCUGCUGACUCCUUGAUCUUGGACUUCUGGCCUCCAGAACGGCUGGAGAGUUUGUUGAAUAAUGGAAUUAAGAUUUUGGACCGAGGAAGUGAUACUUUGGGCCCAGAAGAGGAAACACAUGGAUUAAAUGAUGUGAGGUCAGCUAUGGAAGAAUGCAUCAGUGUCUGAUAAGUAUUAUCCAAGUACAAACUGAAUAAAUCAUGCUAAGAAAAGGCAAUAUGAAGAUGACCAAGACCAACAGAUUCACAGGGAACCUGGACAUUGUGUCAUUUUCCACAGAGUGGGGCGAAAAUGAGAACUUUGAUUUAAAUUUAAGCUGAUUAAAGACCUUGGUGUUCGAUACUCCUCAGCUGACGCUGUUUCUACAUGUGUUGUGUGAAAUGGAGACAUACCAUUAGUGCAGAGUUUCAGGCUAUGCUGAACUUGAACGUCAAUCAGGCAAAGCCCUAGGGAGGAAAAUGCCUUGCCUGUGUGCGUUUAAUGAGAAAGACCCUGUCCUACAUGCAGAAGCCGACAGCUUUCCAGAACUACCUGUGGCUGCACAGAUGUCUGCUCAUUUUGGAGUUUAGGAUAAAGAAGCCCAUCCACCAGCAAGUAUAAGCUGCAUUCUCCAAAGUCAGCUUUCCCAAUUACAAGGAUGCUUUAUUAUUCUGUCUUAUUUCUCAAUGUGUUCAGGAUUUGGGGAGUAAAGAGUUAACAGUAUUAUUUACAGGACUCUUUCAAACCCCAACACACACAAACACCCUAAGCACUGAAAAGCAUUCACAGUGUUUAUUGCUAUUUAUUAUGAGAGCGUCAUGCUAUUUAUUCAACAGAUACAUUUGUUAAGUGUAAAAUCUGUGCCCAGCGUUAUGCCAGGUUUUACGGAUACAGAGAUAAGAUUCCUUCAAAUAGUUUAUGGUCCAGUAGGAAGGACCUUGUGAAACAGGAAUUGCCUUGCACUGUUAUGUUUGUUAUGACAAUAAAAGUUUGUACAAAUUAUGAAGGAAACUUUAAAAAAAAAAAACAUGCCAUAAUAGAAACAGCAAGGAUGGGAAUUUACACACACUCCAAACACAGAAAUCCUACAGUCAAGGUUUACACUGUGUAAUUUUCUUCUUCCCAACUCACAAUCUAAUAUUCUUUUGCUCUUUUCUUUUCAUAGUGUGGCAAGUAAGUUGCCAGCCUCAGCAUUCUCAGCUCCACAGUUAGAACUUAGGUUCCAAUCCUGGUUUUGCAUCUUUGUUUGUGAGUUUGGGGUGUUUUAAUUUUGUCUAUAAUUUUAUUUUGUCCUCUGGAAAAUAGGAACUAAAUAACCAUCUCUUGGGGUGGCUAGGUGGAAUGAAUUUAAUCAUCUGUAUCAAUGAUUAGCUUGAGACCUGGUACAGAGUAAGCAUUCAUUAAAUAUUAAUAUUAACUUUUAUUAUCAUCUUACUGUUCAUUCAAGAGAAAUUCAACAUAUCUUUUUUUUUUUU